AGCGAACGCUGGCGGCAGGCCUAACACAUGCAAGUCGAGCGCAUCCUUCGGGGUGAGCGGCAGACGGGUGAGUAACACGUGGGGAUCUGCCCGAUGGUACGGAAUAACUCAGGGAAACUUGUGCUAAUACCGUAUGUGCCCUUAGGGGGAAAGAUUUAUCGCCAUCGGAUGAACCCGCGUCUGAUUAGCUAGUUGGUGUGGUAAAGGCGCACCAAGGCGACGAUCAGUAGCUGGUCUGAGAGGAUGAUCAGCCACACUGGGACUGAGACACGGCCCAGACUCCUACGGGAAGCAGCAGUGGGGAAUAUUGGACAAUGGGCGCAAGCCUGAUCCAGCCAUGCCGCGUGAGUGAUGAAGGCCUUAGGGUUGUAAAGCUCUUUCGCCGACGAAGAUAAUGACGGUAGUCGGAGAAGAAGCCCCGGCUAACUUCGUGCCAGCCGCCGCCGUAAUAC
rnacentral:rRNA from 1 species